rnacentral:rRNA from 1 species
GACGUAGGGUGCGAGCGUUGUCCGGAUUUAUUGGGCGUAAAGAGCUCGUAGGCGGCUCGUCGCGUCGACCGUGAAAACCCGCGGCUUAACUGCGGGCUUGCGGUUGAUACGGGCGGGCUAGAGUUCGGGUAGGGGAGACUGGAAUUCCUGGGUGUAGCGGUGAAAUGCGCAGAUAUCAGGAGGAACACCGGUGGCGGAGGCGGGUCUCUGGGCCGAUACUGACGCUGAGGAGCGAAAGCGUGGGGAGCGAACAGG